CCCUUAGAUGUCCGGGGCUGCACGCGCGCUACACUGAAGGAAUCAGCGUGCUAAAACCAUUGUCGAAAGGCAUUGGUAAACCCAUUAAAAUCCUACGUGAUUGGGAUCGGGAAUUGCAAUUAUUUCCCUUGAACGAGGAAUUCCCUGUAAGUGUGGGUCAUAAGCUCGCGUUGAUUACGUCCCUGCCCUUUGUACACACCGCCCGUCGCUGCCCGGGACUGAGCCGUUUCGAGAAAAGCGGGGACUGCUGCUGUCGGGGCUUUCGGGCCUUGGCUUCGGUGGAAACCGCUUUAAUCGCAGUGGCUUGAACCGGGCAAAAGUCGUAACA
rnacentral:rRNA from 1 species